rnacentral:rRNA from 1 species
CUAACAUAUCAAUAAGCGGAGGAAAAGAAACUAACAAGGAUUCCCCUAGUAACUGCGAGUGAAGCGGGAAAAGCUCAAAUUUAAAAUCUGGCGGUCUUUGGCCGUCCGAGUUGUAGUCUGGAGAAGCGUCUUCCGCGCUGGACCGUGUAUAAGUCUCUUGGAACAGAGCGUCAUAGAGGGUGAGAAUCCCGUCUUUGACACGGACUACCAGUGCUUUGUGAUGCGCUCUCAAAGAGUCGAGUUGUUUGGGAAUGCAGCUCAAAAUGGGUGGUGAAUUCCAUCUAAAGCUAAAUAUUGGCGAGAGACCGAUAGCGAACAAGUACCGUGAGGGAAAGAUGAAAAGCACUUUGGAAAGAGAGUUAAACAGUACGUGAAAUUGCUGAAAGGGAAACGCUUGAAGUCAGUCGCGUUGUCCGGGACUCAGCCUUGCUUCGGCUUGGUGCACUUUCCGGAUGACGGGCCAGCAUCGAUUUUGACCGCUGGAAAAGGGCUGGAGGAAUGUGGCACCUUCGGGUGUGUUAUAGCCUCCAGUCGCAUACGGCGGUUGGGAUCGAGGAACGCAGCACGCCUCGUGGCGGGGGGUUUACCCUACCUUCGUGCUUAGGAUGCUGGCAUAAUGGCUUUAAACGACCCGUCUUGAAACACGGACCAAGGAGUCUAACAUGCCUGCGAGUGUUUGGGUGGAAAACCCGAGCGCGUAAUGAAAGUGAAAGUUGAGACCUCUGUCGUGGAGGGCAUCGACGCCCGGACCUGACGUUCUCUGACGGAUCCGCGGUAGAGCAUGUAUGUUGGGACCCGAAAGAUGGUGAACUAUGCCUGAAUAGGGUGAAGCCAGAGGAAACUCUGGUGGAGGCUCGUAGCGAUUCUGACGUGCAAAUCGAUCGUCAAAUUUGGGUAUAGGGGCGAAAGACUAAUCGAACCAUCUAGUAGCUGGUUCCUGCCGAA